rnacentral:rRNA from 1 species
AACGAACGCUGGCGGCGUGCUUAACACAUGCAAGUCGAACGGGUUUAAUGGAUGUAGCAAUACAUUCAUUAAAUUAGUGGCGCACGGGUGAGUAACACGUAGGUAACCUACCCUUCAGUGGGGGACAACAGAGGGAAACUUCUGCUAAUACCGCAUACGAUCACGGACUGGGAUGUUCGUGGUGAAAGGAUUUAUUCGCUGAGGGAUGGGCCUGCGGCCUAUCAGGUAGUUGGUGAGGUAAUGGCUCACCAAGCCUGCGACGGGUAGCCGGACUGAGAGGUCGAUCGGCCACACUGGAACUGAGACACGGUCCAGACUCCUACGGGAGGCAGCAGUGGGGAAUAUUGCACAAUGGGGAAACCCUGAUGCAGCGACGCCGCGUGGAGGAUGACGGCCUUCGGGUUGUAAAGCUCUUUGUUGGGAGAAAGCAGUUGGUUAAUACCGAUUGUUCUGACGGUACCAAGAAUAAGCACCGGCUAACUUCGUGCCAGCAGCCGCGUAAACG